ensembl:piRNA 21ur-1604 ncRNA
UAUUAGUAGGUCAGCUUUGAA